rnacentral:lncRNA from 1 species
CUUUCCUACGCUAAAAACCACUGAGUGGAGUAUUUAGUACACAGGAAGUCGGCCAGAGAAACAUUUCUCAUAUUUGAAGGCCGGAAAGAGGGACAUUUCUGACACCGGAAGUCAGUGAGAGGACUCUUUCCCACACAGGAAGUCAGCUAGAGAGCCGUCUCCCCUCUCUGGAGCCGAGAGAGGCCGGUUUCCCCCACCAUAGCAGGGCUGGGAGAAAGGGAUGGGGAGAGUCCCUCCUGCCACUGACCCAGGAUGGAUAAAAGUACCCCUUUCAUAGAAGGAAGAAAAUGGGAACAAAGGUGCUGCUGAUCAUCUGAGGUUGCCUGCAUGGCAGUGAAGAACAUGGACCUUUGGGUAGCCCACCUGGGAGGAAUUUUCCAGAGAUCACUGUCUGAUGACCCUGUCUUGGAAUUGGAGCCAUGCAAGUUACACUGACCACGUUUGGGUUGGGAUAUUGAGGAGGUUAUGGUUAAAAGCAUACGAUGGGAGAUCAUAUUGUACUUGCGAGUGAGACCCGGCUGGAGGAAUGUUUUAAUUCUUCGGAAAUACCAAGUGGUCUCUGUCUCACAUGAGUACUUCACAAUGGGGAAACUGAACUGGAACUCUACUGACAACGCAGUUGGGAGUUCAAACUUAAUAACCUUC